AAUUUGAAAUCUGGCGUCCUCAGGGCGUCCGAGUUGUAAUCUAUAGAGGCGUUUUCCGUGCCGGACCGUGUCCAAGUUCCUUGGAACAGGAUAUCAAAGAGGGUGACAAUCCCGUACUUGACACGACGACCGGUGCUCUGUGAUACGUCUUCUACGAGUCGAGUUGUUUGGGAAUGCAGCUCAAAAUGGGUGGUGAGUUCCAUCUAAAGCUAAAUAUUGGCGAGAGACCGAUAGCGAACAAGUACCGUGAGGGAAAGAUGAAAAGCACUUUGGAAAGAGAGUUAAACAGUACGUGAAAUUGUUGAAAGGGAAACGAUUGAAGUCAGUCGUGACCGAGAGGCUCAGCCGGUUCUGCCGGUGUAUUCCCCUCGGUCGGGUCAACAUCAGUUUUGUCCGGUGGAUAAGGGCGGUAGGAAGGUGGCACCCUCGGGUGUGUUAUAGCCUGCCGUCGCAUACAUCGGGUGAGACUGAGGAACGCAGCUCGCCUUUAUGGCCGGGGUUCGCCCACGUCCGAGCUUAGGAUGUUGACAUAAUGGCUUUAAACGACCCGUCUUGA
rnacentral:rRNA from 1 species